rnacentral:lncRNA from 1 species
CUAGUUCAAAAUCAGGCUUCCUUCAAUCAAAUGAAAGAAGAAAUCUUUCCCCUCUAUACCAUCAGUUCUUCCUUUUUUGGUCUGCACCUUUUAAGUUCAUCUGUUGUAUCAAAAGGAAAAAUUACACAAAAAUUAUUCUCCAGACAGAAAUCGUUCAAGAUGGUGUCCCCAACAACGUUUGCAAAUGCAGUUGAAGAUCAAUAGGUAGGAUGAGAUUCAGAUCUACCUACCGCUAUAUAUUUCCGAAUGAUGGAAACAUACUGCUCAUUAGUUCUUUGAUAAAGGACUAAUCUUUGAGUUCGGUGAGUAAUUAUUCACAGCAGACUCAACCAAUAAAGGAAGCACAAAGUGCGUGUGGAUCAAGUUAGUCAGAAAGCUAGUUUUCUGUGUUUAUUUAGCUCGUAUACUGUUAGUGAAGUAAUGAAACAUUCAGAAGUUAACUUCAGAUGAAACUUUCUUGGAACACAGGUAAGAGUAUUUAAUUCUCUUUCAGUGUUGAAAAGAGGUAAUCAAAUGGUGAAGGAAGUCACAAGCUUGAAGCAUCAUAUGGUUCACUUCUGAAUCAUUCUUUAAGGUGUAGACAACUCACUUUCAAUUUUCCAGAUAAAAAGACAAUUUAAAGAACAAGCAGCGGUUACCUGGAAUUCACAUUAAUAGCUAGAAUUGACAGGUUGAUAGCUGCCUCACUAUCGACUACAGUGCAAAUGCUUGACCGAUGAUGGCCAUCUGAAUAACAAUUUCGAACAGUCAACUUUAAAUGGGACUAAAGGCUAAAGCACAGUUAGAAGUUUCAAGUAUCUGGUAGAGUAAAGCAUCCUGAACCUACUUACUGGAUCGGACAAAAAAAGGUAUAGUUAGUCCUAUAACUUUUUCUUAAACGAUCUUAGGUUCUUGGGUUAGCACCUAACAAAAUUAUCGAUAUCUUCUUUAAUAUUUGAUAUCAUCAUCAGAUUAUAAGUUUCUUCAUAUGGCGGUAGGAGUUCUAAGUUCUUAAGGACUUACAUCCAUCAGGUCAUGGCUCUACCGAAUGUUCAUGUCAACUCAAAGUCAACCCUGGAAAGCUCGACUUCAGUAAAGCGAACAGUCAGCAACAUAUUCAGUUACGUUCAGUAGAACCACAGAGACAUCAGAUGUUUGUUCUUCUUACACAGAACUAUCUGACAUGGUCUUCUCAGAGCCACGAUGUCAGGAGCCCAAUUGCGAUCAUUUUUCAUUUAAUAAUUAGGCUAUCCAAAACUAUAUAUAAUAUGGCCUGAAAUUAUGAUGCAUUCCAAAGCCAAGUAGGAAAAGAACAAACUGUAUUCAUAGGCCGGCUGUUUAUUCUACAUUUAUUUGUUUGUAGGUUACUGGGUUUACUCAAAUUUCUGCAACAAAUUGGAAUGCACUGUACACCGCCAAUCUGCACAGGAACUUACAUGAAUCAGUACUGGAUCAUCAUAUUCAAAAAAAUUACUAAAUCCAAAACAAUCGACAGAUUAAUAUAUGUCAGAAGCAAGCUGAAAAAUAUAUAUCCAAAGCUAAAUCAAUUAAAAAAACCGUCCAUGUGAAGCUUGGAACUUGUAGACAAAAUCAUGGAUGGAAAAAAGAAGUUCAGAAGCAGAGACUCAGGCCAGUUUGCUCUCUUUUGUUUUUGUCCUCUUUGUUAUAUUGUUUACAUCGUGUUCCUUCUUUGUCUCAACUCUCAAGCAAUGCUUGACCAGUUCAACAGAAGCAAAAGCUUUGAAAUGUUUUAACUCAAAGCAUGGCGAGGAAAAUAAUGAAGUUCCAACGUGGGAUUAUUUUAAAUUCCAGGAGAAGAAACAAAAAGCAUUUCAGACGGCCCCAAAACUGGAAAUUCUGCAAUAAAAAUUAUAUAAACAAUUUCAGACUGCCCCAAAACUAAAGCAUGAAUGUGCCGGCAGUGAUCCUGUUAAUCUACAAGCUAGCAUAUAUAUAUUGAAAGAUCACCUGAAUGGGAUUUCAAACAGAAAAGAAGAGGAAAAACGACUUACCAUUUUUCCUUUUCCUCCAUGAAGCAAAUGAACCUCUCAGCAACAAUGGCUCUUGUUUCUUUGUUCUAUCUUCUUCUUUUGCUCAACUCCAUCUCUCACAUUACUCAAG